AUGGAUCUAGAGAACUUCUGUGUGCGCUCAGAAAUAUUAAAUGGCUCCGCUACCGUCACCCAGGCACGAAGGCACAACUGGGCCACAGGGGUUUUUUUUUUUUUUUUUUUUUUUUUUGUGCGGUACGCGGGCCUCUCACUGUUGUGGCCUCUCCCGUUGCGGAGCACAGGCUCCGGACGCGCAGGCCCAGCGGCCAUGGCUCACGGGCCCAGCCGCUCCGCGGCAUGUGGGAUCUUCCCGGACCGGGGCUUGAACCCGCGUCCCCUGCAUUGGCAGGCGGACUCUCAACCACUGCGCCACCAGGAAAGCCCAAGGCACAGUGGAUUUUACUCUCACCAGAGAGGCCGUCUAGUACCAGCUCCCGGGUUCAAUGCCGCCAAAGGGUCCACCUGCUCUACCUCUUGGGCCGGUGCCCCGCGCCUAACGAAAGCCUCCGCGCGGAAGCGGCGGGCGGCCUCCAACUCCCGCCCGCUCACUGACAGCCAUGCUCCUGCCAAGACUCAAGCUCCGCGUGGCCCGACGCUCGCUUCUAACGGCUUCCCGCGCCCGGCGGGCCUCCGGCGGGGCCUCGCACCCCCCAGCCCUCCACCUCCCCAGCCCCUGUCACUGUCCCAACGCCCGCGGUCCCGAGAGCCCGGAGGAGGCAGGGAGAGCAGCCGGCCCCCAGCUGCAAGCCAAGGGAACCCGCCUCCACCUCCAGGUCCGGGGAAGCCCCACCGAUACGUCGGUGAGAGCGCCGAACGCGACGCCCGAAGCUUCCGGAGACCUUACACGUCCUCAGCAGGCACACGCCCCCGCCGAAACGGCUCGUCGGCCCUCUCGCGAGAGAGUGCCUGGUGGCACCUCCUUCUCUUCAGCAGUCUUUCUCUCCCCGCCCCCAGAGUGCUCGCGCGGCUUCCUCCGGGAGGCGGGAGGCUUGGACGUGGCGGGGCCCGGCCAGCCAGGGUGCCGGGCCUGGGGCGCUCUGCUCGGCCUCUCGGCAGCUGGCCUUCCGCGCCACCUUCAAGCCCCCGACAGGCCCCGUCCCUUCCCAGGUAG
rnacentral:lncRNA from 1 species